AAACUUACCGAUUUAAAUCUUUUUUAAUACAGGUACUUCUCACGAACAGGCGCAGAAAACCUCCACCUAAACUCCGUGUGAGGUUCAGGUCGAUGGGUGUUCCAGUUAGCUCCGGUUGGGUUGAAGCUAGGUGGCUACAUCCGUUAGCUCGGCUCCCACCUCCGCUUUAGCUUUGGGUUAGCCAGGGUUAGCUUCAGGUUAGCUCGUAGCUAGUUCGCCUGGGUGUCGUCACUCGAGCCCAGCCUUACAGCCACACCCUCAGCACCUCCUCUCUUCCCUUUUAUGGAAUUGUCUGGGCUGGACGGAACCUGUGACACGGUCAAAAUGGCGGUGGUGGCCACCUGCCAUUAUAGACAACAAACGUGUUAUUGAAGCCAAUGGAAUCCGUUUGUCCAGCCGUUGUCUGCGUUUGCGUCCUCCUCUCACUCUACGUUUCGACGUUAUUACGUCGCUUUGUGACGUCAUACUGCCAGCCUAUAAAUAGGGCUCUAGAACCCGCUUAGUCAGUCAGUCGAGCUAAGGUUAGCUGGAAGGGUGAGUGCAUUCGGGUAUCUCUUAUCAACACUCAGAAAUUUCUGUAAAUUUACGGCAGAAUUCCAACAGUAACAUACCGAUUUUCCAAAUUAUGGUGGGAUAAUGUUAAAUCCGAUGUUUUUUUUUGUUGAAUUAUGACAGCCGGAAAAUUACGGCCAAAAAAUGGUCUAAUACAGUAUUUCUUUUGAAGCACAUUUUUGAAGUUCAGUUCUUGAACAGUCAGCUACGUUGAAGAAGAAGAAAAAGAAGACAAUCACUGUUCAUCCUCCAACAUGAAAGCUUCUAAAAGGUAAGUUUAUCACUCUUAAGAAUGUAAAUUGUGGUUUUGGUUAGUGUUAAGUCAAUCUAUAGAUCACCAGAAACCCACUUGUCAAAGUUUAGCUUACAAAACAUGACACGAAAUGAAACAUCACUUGCACCAUAGUAAUUUUGGGAGUUUUAUGGUGGAAAGUUAAAUAUUUAUUUUUAAUGACUGGAAUUAUAGAUUUGUCAUGUAGGACCACGUUUUUGUUUUUCAACUUUGUACAUUCUUGCUAGCAUUAGCAUCUGAACUGGAGGCUCUUUAUUGCGAUAUUUCAUUAAUAACUAUUAAUGUGCAUCCGUGCCACCGCUGGGCUCUCUAUCAGGCGUACAGUGGUUGGUGGACAUUCUUUUUGGGCCAACAGUACCGACGCUUUUUAUGCCGACUUCGGACUGGUCCAUAAUAGCAGUAAGCUAUUAGUGGCCCUAUUAACAUUUGGACUGUCUCAUUUUUCUAACCAAACCGUAUUCGCUCUGGUCCUGCAUUUUGCAAAAAUAAUAAAAAGCAGAGGUGGAAAGUAACGAAUUAGCAGGGGGGGUACACUUUAGAUAAUGAGGACAAACAGCCAUUUUACCGCAGAUUUGCUCAAACAUCAGUUCAGUCCCUGUAAUCCACUCGCUUUUUACCUACUCUCUCCCUCCUCCUGUGGCUUGGAUCCCGCACCUUCGCGCAUCGGUGUGACGUCAUCAGAAUUCUGCUCGGUUCGGUAACCAGACUCGGUUCCGUGUUUGAGAUGUGUUUCCCUACCAUUCUGCACGGCAUCGGCAAAAUAACGUUUAGCGCUCAUAACAAGCGGAUUCUCAGUACUUUGCUAAUUAAACAGAAGACCUGCAGGCCUCUGAGUUCAAACAUCCUGAUACUUUUUCAGGUGUAAACAUUGUGCUCCAUCCCUGUGUUUGAACUCAAGAUGCUCCUUGAUGCCACAGAUAUGUGAUGAUUUAGCUUGUUUUACUCCAGAAUAAGAGAUUACAUUAUUACAAAAGCAGUUCAAUGUAGUUAAAUUAGUCAUUCAGAUGAUUCUAACAUGCUGCUGCUGCUGCUGGUGUGUGUGUGUGUGUGUGUGUGUGUGUGUGUGUGUGUGUGUGUUAGUUAGUUACACAUAUAGGACUGCAUGAGACAGCAUGGUUUCAUCAAAUCCAUGCAUCUUAUUUCUUGGCUGAAGUAAUGGCUCAGGAAAAUAACUUAUAUUUCAUGAAUAAUGACGUCUCUGCAGUGUAUAUGAUAAUGUUUUAUCUUAUAUUGGACCUAUCUUUGGUCUGAGAGGUUUCGACGUUAUUACGUCGCUUUGUGACGUCAUCUUGCCAGCCUAUAAAUAGGGCUCUAGAACCCGCUUCGUCAGUCAGUCGAGCUAAGGUUAGCUGGAAGGGUGAGUGCAUUCGGGUAUCUCUUAUCAACACUCAGAAAUUUCUGUAAAUUUACGGCAGAAUUCCAACAGUAACAUACCGAUUUUCCAAAUUACGGUGGGAUAAUGUUAAAUCUGAUGUUUUUUUGUUGAAUUAUGACAGCCGGAAAAUCACGGCCAAAAAACUGUCUAAUACAGUAUUUCUUUUGAAGCACAUUUUUGAAGUUCUGUUCUUGAACAGUCAGCAGUCAGCUACGUUGAAGAAGAAAAAGAAGACAAUCACUGUUCAUCCUCCAACUUGAAAGCUUCUAAAAGGUAAGUUUAUCACUCUUAAGAAUGUAAAUUGUGGUUUUGGUUAGUGUUAAGUCAAUCUAUAGAUCACCAGAAACCCACUUGUCAAAGUUUAGCUUACAAAACAUGACACGAAAUGAAACAUCACUUGCACCAUAGUAAUUUUGGGAGUUUUAUGGUGGAAAGUUAAAUAUUUAUUUUUAAUGACUGGAAUUAUAGAUUUGUCAUGUAGGACCACGUUUUUGUUUUUCAUCUUUGUACAUUCUUGCUAGCAUUAGCAUCUGAACUGGAGGCUCUUUAUUGCGAUAUUUCAUUAAUAACUAUUAAUGUGCAUCCGUGCCACCGCUGGGCUCUCUAUCAGGCGUACAGUGGUUGGUGGACAUUCUUUUUGGGCCAACAGUACCGACGCUUUUUAUGCCGACUUCGGACUGGUCCAUAAUAGCAGUAAGCUAUUAGUGGCCCUAUUAACAUUUGGACUGUCUCAUUUUUCUAACCAAACCGUAUUCGCUCUGGUCCUGCAUUUUGCAAAAAUAAUAAAAAGCAGAGGUGGAAAGUAACGAAUUAGCAGGGGGGGUACACUUUAGAUAAUGAGGACAAACAGCCAUUUUACCGCAGAUUUGCUCAAACAUCAGUUCAGUCCCUGUAAUCCACUCGCUUUUUACCUACUCUCUCCCUCCUCCUGUGGCUUGGAUCCCGCACCUUCGCGCAUCGGUGUGACGUCAUCAGAAUUCUGCUCGGUUCGGUAACCAGACUCGGUUCCGUGUUUGAGAUGUGUUUCCCUACCAUUCCGCACGGCAUCGGCAAAAUAACGUUUAGCGCUCAUAACAAGCGGAUUCUCAGUACUUUGCUAAUUAAACAGAAGACCUGCAGGCCUCUGAGUUCAAACAUCCUGAUACUUUUUCAGGUGUAAACAUUGUGCUCCAUCCCUGUGUUUGAACUCAAGAUGCUCCUUGAUGCCACAGAUAUGUGAUGAUUUAGCUUGUUUUACUCCAGAAUAAGAGAUUACAUUAUUACAAAAGCAGUUCAAUGUAGUUAAAUUAGUCAUUCAGAUGAUUCUAACAUGCUGCUGCUGCUGCUGGUGUGUGUGUGUGUGUGUGUGUGUGUGUGUGUGUGUGUGUGUGUGUGUGUGUGUGUGUUAGUUAGUUACACAUAUAGGACUGCAUGAGACAGCAUGGUUUCAUCAAAUCCAUGCAUCUUAUUUCUUGGCUGAAGUAAUGGCUCAGGAAAAUAACUUAUAUUUCAUGAAUAAUGACGUCUCUGCAGUGUUUAUGAUAAUGUUUUAUCUUAUAUUGGACCUAUCUUUGGUCUGAGAGGUUUCGACGUUAUUACGUCGCUUUGUGACGUCAUCUUGCCAGCCUAUAAAUAGGGCUCUAGAACCCGCUUCGUCAGUCAGUCGAGCUAAGGUUAGCUGGAAGGGUGAGUGCAUUCGGGUAUCUCUUAUCAACACUCAGAAAUUUCUGUAAAUUUACGGCAGAAUUCCAACAGUAACAUACCGAUUUUCCAAAUUACGGUGGGAUAAUGUUAAAUCUGAUGUUUUUUUGUUGAAUUAUGACAGCCGGAAAAUCACGGCCAAAAAACUGUCUAAUACAGUAUUUCUUUUGAAGCACAUUUUUGAAGUUCUGUUCUUGAACAGUCAGCAGUCAGCUACGUUGAAGAAGAAAAAGAAGACAAUCACUGUUCAUCCUCCAACUUGAAAGCUUCUAAAAGGAGUUUGCAACGGCAGCGGAUGUCGAAACCAGCCUAAGUUUGCCAGCCCUCGUCUGAUUUUGAGUGAGUUCAGAACUGAUUAGCACUAUUCACAUGCCAAACAACCAAACAACCAACCAGCUCUAUACACGUAAAACUAACCAGCUCUAUACACGUAAAACUAACCAGCUCUAUACACGUAAAACUAACCAACCAACCAACAAAACAACCAACCAGCUCUAUACACGUACAACUAACCAGCUCUAUACACGUAAAACUAACCAACCAAUCAACUAACCAGCUCUAUACACAUAAAACUAACCAACCAACCAACCAGCUCUAUACACGUCCAACCAACCAACCCACCCUAUACAAGUAAAACUAACCAACCAACCAGCUCUAUACACGUAAAACUAACCAGCUCUAUACACGCAAAACUAACCAGCUCUAUACACGUAAAACUAACCAGCUCUAUACACGUCAAACUAACCAACCAACCAACCAACCAACCAGCUCUAUACACGUAAAACUAACCAGUUCUAUACACAUAAAACUAACCAACCAACCGGCUCUAUACACGUACAACUAACCAACCAGCUCUA